CCUGCUGACGAGCGGCGGACGGGUGAGUAACGCGUGGGAAUCUGCCUAUUGGUGGGGGAUAGCCCGGAGAAAUCCGGAUUAAUACCGCAUAAUACCUGAGGGUUAAAACAGGGGAUCUUCGGACCUUGUGCCAAUAGAUGAGCCCGCGUCAGAUUAGUUAGUUGGUGAGGUAAUGGCUCACCAAGACCGCGAUCUGUAGCUGGCCUGAGAGGGUGGCCAGUCACACUGGAACUGAGACACGGUCCAGACUCCUACGGGAGGCAGCAGUGGGGAAUAUUGGGCAAUGGGCGCAAGCCUGACCCAGCCAUGCCGCGUGUGUGAAGAAGGCUUUCGGGUUGUAAAGCACUUUAAGUUGGGAGGAAGGUGCGACGGUUAAUACCCGUUGUAAUUGACGUUACCAACAGAAUAAGCACCGGCUAAUUCCGUGCCAGCAGCCGCGGUAAUACGGAAGGUGCGAGCGUUAAUCGGAAUUACUGGGCGUAAAGCGCACGUAGGCGGUUUGCUAAGUCAGAUGUGAAAGCCCAGGGCUUAACCUUGGAACUGCAUCUGAUACUGGCAGGCUAGAGUACAGUAGAGGGAGGUGGAAUUUCAGGUGUAGCGGUGAAAUGCGUAGAGAUCUGAAGGAACACCAGUGGCGAAGGCGGCCUCCU
rnacentral:rRNA from 1 species